rnacentral:rRNA from 1 species
UACGAAGGGGGCUAGCGUUGCUCGGAAUCACUGGGCGUAAAGCGCACGUAGGCGGAUUGCUAAGUCAGGGGUGAAAUCCUGGAGCUCAACUCCAGAACUGCCUUUGAUACUGGCGACCUUGAGUCCGGGAGAGGUGAGUGGAACUGCGAGUGUAGAGGUGAAAUUCGUAGAUAUUCGCAAGAACACCAGUGGCGAAGGCGGCUCACUGGCCCGGUACUGACGCUGAGGUGCGAAAGCGUGGGGAGUAAACAGG